CCUACGGGCGGCAGCAGUCGAGAAUCAUUCACAAUGGGGGAAACCCUGAUGGUGCGACGCCGCGUGGGGGAAUGAAGGUCUUCGGAUUGUAAACCCCUGUCAUGUGGGAGCAAAUUAAAAAGAUAGUACCACAAGAGGAAGAGACGGCUAACUCUGUGCCAGCAGCCGCGGUAAUACAGAGGUCUCAAGCGUUGUUCGGAAUCACUGGGCGUAAAGCGUGCGUAGGCUGUUUCGUAAGUCGUGUGUGGAAGGCGCAGGCUCAACCCGCGGACGGCACAUGAUACUGCGAGGCGAGAGUAAAGGAGGGGGAACAGGAAUUCUCGGUGUAGCAGUGAAAUGCGUAGAUAUCGAGAGGAACACUAGUGGCGAAGGCGGGUUGCUGGACAUUAACUGACGCUGAGGCACGAAGGCCAGGGGAGCGAAAGGGAUUAGAUACCCCUGUAGUC
rnacentral:rRNA from 1 species